GUCAAAUAGUUUUUGGUGAAUAGAACUAUUUAUGGUUGCCCCCAAUUAAACUGCUAGUUUUCCGUAGGCAAACAUUUUAGCAUCUAUGUAUUUUUUGUGUCCAGUAAAAUCCUUGCACUCAACAAUACUCAUCUGAAGAUUCCCUUACUGCAGUCAUAGGUCAUAAUGCAGUUGCUGAGCAUUUAGCCACGACACUUUCCAGGUAUAUCAUUGAGCUCUCUUCAUUCUCCAGGUCCUAAGCCUCACAGGGUUUCCAUGAGCAGUAGCUACCACACAGGUGAAGAUAAGUGAUGAAGAACUGUGUGUCAGAACUGUUGCAUAUCAACUAAUGUAAACAAGGACCUUUGAAGGUUGUGGUUUAUGGUAACCACAGAAACCUUUGUUAGUAAAUGAGAAAAUGGCUUUCACCUGCCUGGGUUUGAGCGCAUGAAAAAGUUCUGAAGGGUCACACACAGAUACACACAUACACACUCACGCUGCAAGCUAACAUUAUCCCUUUAGUACCAGGAACCUCCUGACCUGUAAUCUCACAGCAUGGAGGCUGAGUCAUAAUAGUAAACCUGGGAGGAAAUUUCACAACAAAUUCUUUAAAUAUAUUCAUAGCUAUCAGCAGUAAUAUUGGAUUCAAUUAGGCAACCCUGAUUUGAGCAGUAUACAAUCUUUACUGUAAUUAGUUUCUUUGUUGUACACAUUGUGUCACCACCAAGGAACAUCAUUAAAAGGCACACUCUUCCCAUACAUAAUCACACCCUAGACCUUGUAAGUAAGAUGGUAACA
rnacentral:lncRNA from 1 species